rfam:Triticum aestivum genome assembly, contig: Triticum_aestivum_CS42_TGACv1_scaffold_556111_7AL
UGGAGUAUAGCCAAGUGGUAAGGCAUCGGUUUUUGGUACCGGGUUGCAAAGGUUCGAAUCCUUUUACUCCAG